AACGGGUGAGUAACACGUAGGAAACCUACCUCUUAGCAGGGGAUAACAUUUGGAAACAAAUGCUAAUACCGUAUAAUAAUUAAAACCGCAUGGUUUUAGUUUAAAAGAUGGUCUUGCUAUCACUAAGAGAUGGUCCCGCGGUGUAUUAGUUAGUUGGUGAGGUAAUGGCUCACCAAGACAAUGAUACAUAGCCGAGUUGAGAGACUGACCGGCCACAAUGGGACUGAGACACGGCCCAUACUCCUACGGGAGGCAGCAGUAGGGAAUCUUCCACAAUGGACGAAAGUCUGAUGGAGCAACACCGCGUGUGUGAUGAAGGGUUUCGGCUCGUAAAACACUGUUGUAAGAGAAGAAUGACAUUGAGAGUAACUGUUCAAUGUGUGACGGUAUCUUACCAGAAAGGAACGGCUAAAUACGUG
rnacentral:rRNA from 1 species